ACGAACGCUGGCGGCGUGCCUAAUACAUGCAAGUCGAGCGCAGGAAGCUCACGGAACUCUUCGGAGGGAAGUGAAGGGAAUGAGCGGCGGACGGGUGAGUAACACGUAAGGAACCUGCCCCAAGGAUUGGGAUAACUCCGAGAAAUCGGAGCUAAUACCGAAUAGUUCUUCAGACCGCAUGGUCUGAUGAUGAAAGGCGCUCCGGCGUCACCUUGGGAUGGCCUUGCGGUGCAUUAGCUAGUUGGUGGGGUAAUGGCCCACCAAGGCGACGAUGCAUAGCCGACCUGAGAGGGUGAUCGGCCACACUGGGACUGAGACACGGCCCAGACUCCUACGGGAGGCAGCAGUAGGGAAUCUUCCACAAUGGACGAAAGUCUGAUGGAGCAACGCCGCGUGAGUGAUGAAGGUUUUCGGAUCGUAAAACUCUGUUGUAAGGGAAGAACAAGUACGAGGGGUAAUGCUCGUACCUUGACGGUACCUUGCGAGAAAGCCACGGCUAACUACGUGCCAGCCGCCGC
rnacentral:rRNA from 1 species